UUUUCCAUUCGCUAAUAAGGCCCUGCCAGGCUGGGAGGGAAUUGUCCUUGCCUGCUUCUGGAGAGAGAAGAUAUUGACACCAUCUACGGACACCAUGGAACUGCUUCAAGUGACCAUUCUUUUUCUUCUGCCCAGUAUUUGCAGCAGUAACAGCACAGGUGUUUUACAGGAAGCUAAUAAUUCACUUGUUGUUACUACAACAAAACCAUCUAUAACAACACCAAACACAGAAUCAUUACAGAAAAAUGUUGUCACACCAACAACUGGAACAACUCCUAAAGGAACAAUCACCAAUGAAUUACUUAAGAUGUCUCUGAUGUCAACAGCUACUUUUUUAACAAGUAAAGAUGAAGGAUUGAAAGUCACAACCACUGAUGUCAGGAAGAAUGAGUCCAUCAUUUCAAACGUAACAGUAACAAGUGUUACACUUCCAAAUGCUGUUUCAACAUUACAAAGUUCCAAACCCAAGACUGAGACUCAGAGUUCAAUUAAAACAGAAAUACCAGGCUAAAAAUUGGCAGGCACUAGAGGAAAAACAGCAAAACAAAACAAAAACAGUGCAUCCAGUCAGAGAAGACUGAUGCAGUUCUCUGGAAGUUCUGGGAAGAGAUUUUUUUCCCUCUGCUUCACAGAUUGACUAUCAAGGAGAAGUCAGAGUUGAAGAAUUGGGAAGCAGCCACAUUGUCAGUUCUCUUUAAGGAGGGACUGAAGGAUCCUUCAUUUUGUUUAAAUAAAUUUUAUUUAC
rnacentral:sRNA from 1 species